CUAGAGAGGGAAGGCAAGGCGCCCGCCCGCCUAGAAGAAGCCCCCCGACGAGGCGCGGGAUGGUGGCGCGGCGGCGAUGAGGCAGAAACUUCGGCGUGGAUGUAGGAAGUAGAAGUGUGACCGCGGCGAGGUAGGAAGAAGCCUCCCCCUGGCUGGAGCCUGCGCCCGGAGGAGAAGGAGCAGGCGGCGGCGGUGCAGGGGGAGGCUGAGCCGGAGCUGCCCUGCGCCUCGCCAUGGAUUGCAGCCGCCUCAGGACUCUUAUUAAUAGAUAUUGUGCUGGAGAAGAGAACUGGGUGGACAAUAGGACGAUAUAUAUUGGGCAUCGUGAACCCCCUCCAGGCACUGAAGCAUACAUUCCACAAAGGUAUCCAGAUAACAGAAUAGUAUCCUCAAAGUACACUUUUUGGAACUUUGUACCGAAGAAUUUAUUUGAGCAGUUCCGAAGAAUAGCAAACUUUUAUUUUCUUAUAAUUUUUCUUGUACAGUUAAUUAUUGAUACACCAACUAGUCCCGUGACAAGUGGGCUUCCACUUUUCUUUGUCAUCACUGUAACAGCUAUAAAACAGGGCUAUGAAGAUUGGCUUCGUCAUAAAGCUGACAAUGCAAUGAACCAAUGUCCUGUUCAUUUUAUUCGACAUGGCAAACUGGUUAGAAAACAGAGCCACAAGCUGAGGGUUGGAGAUAUUGUAAUGGUAAAAGAAGAUGAAACAUUUCCUUGUGACCUAAUACUUUUGUCAAGUAGCCGGGCAGAUGGAACAUGUUUUGUUACAACAGCAAGUUUGGAUGGGGAGUCCAGUCAUAAGACAUAUUAUGCUGUUCAAGAUACAAAGUCCUUUCAAAGUGAACAAGAUAUUGACACUUUGCAUGCUACUAUUGAAUGUGAACAACCUCAGCCUGAUCUAUAUAAAUUUGUUGGCCGAAUAAAUGUUUACCAUGACCAAAGUGAGCCUACUGCAAGGCCACUGGGAUCUGAAAAUCUGCUUCUUAGAGGAGCUACUUUAAAGAACACAGAGAAAAUCUUUGGUGUUGCUAUAUACACUGGCAUGGAAACCAAAAUGGCAUUGAACUACCAGUCAAAAUCUCAGAAACGAUCUGCUGUAGAAAAAUCCAUGAAUGUAUUUCUUAUCGUAUAUCUCUGCAUUCUGAUCAGUAAAUCACUAAUAAAUACCGUCCUGAAGUAUGUUUGGCAAAGUGAACCAUUUCGUGAUGAGCCGUGGUAUAAUCAGAAAACUGAACUGGAAAGGAAAAGAAAUGUGUUUAUUACAGCAUUUACAGAUUUUCUUGCCUUCAUGGUUCUUUUCAACUACAUCAUUCCUGUAUCCAUGUAUGUCACAGUAGAAAUGCAGAAGUUUCUUGGUUCUUAUUUUCUCACUUGGGAUGAAGAAAUGUUUGAUGAAGAAACAGGUGAAGGACCUCUUGUGAAUACUUCUGACCUUAAUGAAGAGUUAGGGCAGGUUGAAUAUGUCUUCACAGAUAAAACUGGGACAUUAACGGAGAACAAUAUGGAGUUCAUUGAAUGCUGUAUUGAGGGACAUGUUUACAUUCCUCACGUCAUCUGCAAUGGCCAAAUCCUCAAUGAUUGUUCUGGAAUUGAUAUGAUUGAUUCCUCCCCAGGAGGAAGUAGCAAAGAGAGGGAAGAGCUCUUUUUCCGGGCACUAUGUCUUUGUCACACUGUUCAAGUGAAGGAGGAUGACAAUGUGGACGGAUUAAAGAAAGCUCAGCUCUCAGGAAGAUCUUCAGUGUAUAUAUCCUCAUCCCCUGAUGAAGUUGCUUUAGUUGAAGGGAUUCAGAGACUUGGUUACACAUACUUAAGGCUGAAGGACAAUUUUAUGGAGAUCUUAAAUCGAGAAAAUGAUGUUGAAAAGUUUGAAUUGCUGGAGGUCCUUAGUUUUGAUUCAGUGAGGAGACGGAUGAGUGUAAUUGUUAAAUCAACAAAAGGUGAAAUAUUGCUAUUUUGUAAAGGAGCAGAUUCUUCUAUAUUUCCUAGAGUUACAGAAGGCAAAAUAGAACAGAUUCGAUCAAGAGUUGAACGAAAUGCUGUGGAGGGUCUGCGGACAUUGUGUGUUGCUUAUAAAAAGUUCACCUAUGAAGAAUAUGAGAGCGUGCAGAACUUUCUGCAGGAAGCAAAGCUGGCUCUGAGGGACAGGGAAAAGAAACUUGCAGAAGCUUAUGAGCAGAUAGAAAAAGGUCUUAUCCUGCUUGGUGCCACAGCAGUGGAAGACCGUCUACAGGAGAAAGCUGCUGAUACCAUUGACGCCCUACAAAAAGCCGGCAUUAAGGUGUGGGUUUUGACGGGAGACAAAAUGGAGACUGCCGCUGCAACAUGCUAUGCCUGUAAACUGUUCAGAAGGAACACUCAAAUUCUUGAACUGACUACAAAGAAAAUAGAAGAACAGAGUUUGCACGAUGUAUUGUUUGAGUUAAGCAAAACUGUCCUAAGACACAGCGGCAGCUUAACGAGAGAUACUUUCUCAGGGCUUUCAGCUGAGAUGCAAGAUUAUGGUUUAAUUAUUGAUGGAGCAGCAUUAUCAUUAAUAAUGAAGCCACGGGAAGAUGGGAGCUCUGGUAACUACAGAGAGCUCUUCCUUGAAAUAUGUAGGAACUGUAGUGCAGUUUUAUGCUGUCGUAUGGCUCCUCUGCAGAAAGCACAGAUUGUAAAAUUAAUUAAAUGGUCAAAAGAGCACCCCAUCACAUUAGCAAUUGGUGAUGGAGCAAAUGAUGUCAGUAUGAUCUUAGAAGCACACGUGGGCAUAGGCGUUAUUGGAAAAGAAGGCCGUCAAGCUGCAAGAAAUAGUGACUAUGCAAUACCCAAAUUUAAACAUUUGAAAAAAAUGUUGCUUGUUCAUGGGCAUUUUUAUUAUGUCAGGAUAUCUGAACUUGUGCAAUACUUCUUUUAUAAGAAUGUCUGCUUCAUUUUUCCUCAGUUUUUAUACCAAUUCUUCUGUGGGUUUUCACAGCAGCCUUUGUAUGAUACUGCGUAUCUUACCCUGUACAAUAUCAGCUUCACUUCCCUUCCUAUCCUGUUGUACAGUCUAAUGGAACAGCAUGUCAGUUCAGAAACACUCAAGAGAGACCCUUCACUGUACAGGGAUGUUGCCAAGAAUGCCCUGCUGCGCUGGCGUGUAUUUAUUUACUGGACAUUCUUGGGAGUAUUUGAUGCUGUGGUCUUUUUCUUUGGUGCCUAUUUCUUGUUUGACAACACAACCGUGACCACCAAUGGACAGCUAAUGACAGCCAACACUCACAUGAUGUUUGGAAACUGGACAUUUGGGACACUGGUGUUCACUGUACUAGUAUUUACAGUUACCCUGAAGCUUGCACUGGAUACACAUCACUGGACAUGGAUCAAUCACUUUGUGAUCUGGGGAUCACUACUGUUCUAUGUUGUAUUUUCCCUCCUCUGGGGAGGGAUUAUAUGGCCUUUUCUCAAUUAUCAGAGGAUGUACUACGUGUUCAUUCAAAUGCUGUCUAGUGGUCCUGCGUGGCUAGGUAUUAUAAUGCUCGUAACAGUAAGCCUUCUUCCAGAUGUAUUGAAGAAAGUUCUUUGCAGGCAUUUAUGGCCCACAGCAACAGAAAGAAUCCAGAAUGCAACAAGCUACGGUCAGAACCAUUUUUCAGAAUUCACACCUCUUGCCUCUCUAAAGGGUACAAGAUACAGGAGCAGUGACUGCAAGAAUUCCCAAGCAAGAAGGUCUAGUUCUCGUUCUAAAAAAACAAUGUUUACGCAUUGGAGAAACAAUGAUUAUUCAAUACUCCCAUCUAUCUUUAGCUAUUCCAAUAAACGCUGCAAUGCUGGUGUGAGGUACUACCAAAGGGGUUCAGGUUUGGAAACAUCUCUGUGACAGAUCACCAACUCAAGCCUUUAAGAACUACAGCUAUUCCCCACUCUCCUGAGCCUAGCAAAGAACCAUUUAAUAGCAUUGAUUGAGAUGUUGUUGGGUUUUACUGACUGGUGUAAUAACCUGGCAGAUUGGAUUAAGAGUGCUGAAUAUAAACCCUCCCAGGAAUAUUGGCCUUUUAAUGUUUUAAACUGCUGAAACUAUGGAUUCACCUACACAGUCUGGCACUGUGAGAAUCGACAGAACGAGAAUUUCACUCCAUUCUGUCAAAACGUCUGUGUGUGUAUUGCUUCUGUCAUCCCUUGUCCUUUAUUGUUUGAAGUGUGUUGCUUCAGUCAGUUAUCCACUUCAGAAAUCAAUGGUUGAACAUUUCCAGUCACUAGCACUGAUCAGAGAGCAUAGUAUCAGGUGCUGUUUCUGACUUGUCUUUGUCCUUUCUUUGUUCUUUCUGUAGAACAAACUGGUGUUUCCAUUGUGCAAAUCUGCUUUCAAGAAACACACUCUAAUAUCCAUUUUAUUCCUUAAAUAAGAAGACUCUUGCUUGUGGUUCUGAAAAUGCUGCAUUCUGCUUUACGUACUAGCUAAAGGGUUUAUUGCAAUCUUCUUACAUUUCAACUAUUCCCUAAACAGUGAAUAAUUGUUAACAGGCUGGGAUCUUUAAUGGUAGCUGUUGAUAUUUUUAAAGCCUUGUUUCUUUGUAUUACUUCAGGGGAAGAGAAAGAAAUAGAAUUUGGCAUUGAAAGGGGUAUAGUGGUUAAGAGUGUUGGACUCUUAUCUGAAAGACACAGGUUUGAAUACCCAUUUGUGCCAUGAAAGCUUACUGGGUGACCUUGAGUCAAUCAUGCAUACUCAGUCUAACCUACCUCACAGAGUUAUUGUGAGGAUGAAAUGGAAGAGUGGAGAAUAAGGCUGCUUUGGGUCUUCCCUGGGAGAAAGGUGGGAUACAAAUGAAAUAAAUAUACCUAAUUCCAUAAACAAUUGGAACUUUAAAAAUGUCCCCUGUAAAUGAAAAGAAAAGCUAUAUAGGUUUAUAUAACCUCUUCACUCCGAUCUUUCCUUUGUCCCCUUUCCAUUACAGAUUACAUUCAAGUGCAAUCUGUUGUAGUAGAAGUUGGACUUUAACCCAGAGAUCAUCAUAUGCAGUGGUAGAGUACACACAUUUUACUGUAUACAGGCAUCUUCACUGCCAAACAAAUGACUGAUACUGCAGAUUGGUCAGAUGGCAAUGAUGGUGCAUUAUAAUCUGGAUUUAUUUGCCCACAUUCAAACAAGUGAUUGAGGGUCUGAGCGGAUAAAACUGAUAAGUAAUGGGUUUGUGGUGCACUGAUGUGGUAGAAGUGGAGAAUUUUUCCUGCUUUUGUAGGGACUGGGUGUGAGGAGGGGAAUAACUCCAGAACAGUGAUCUGUGCUCAAUAACCCAUUUCUCUACAAAGGCUGUUCUUGCGCAGGGCAAUGAAUGGAUAGGUUCAACAACUGACUAGGAAUCAAAGGGUUAUAAUAAGAAUUUUUUUAAUCCAACAAAAAUUGAUAAAGGCAUUUAUAUGGAGAAAAAUUGAAACCUGUGUAACUUAAAUUGGCAUGUUUGAAAGGUUAAACCUUUAACAACAAAAUUUCUUAGAUGCAUUAAUAGAUUUGUUGAAACUUAUGGGUAUCAACCAAAUGAUCAUGAAGACUAAAAAUGUACUGUUCAUGCUUACAUCUUCUCGAAGAGUGGUUAGUAGUAAGAUUCCAUUAUUUUAAUUUGGGGGAGGUCUUGACUGAUCAUUAUUUUCUUCAGCUACUUAAUGUAAGAAGCCUACCAUUUAUCCUCCAGCUUGCAUCAGUCUAUCUAUCCCACUAUAUUGCAAGUAUCAAAGGAAGAAAACAGCACUAGUUUGUGAAAUUAAUGGGAUCAUGUUUAAAAAGCUUUACUGAAAAUCUGUCAAGGUAUUACAAGAGAGAAAAGUAUACUUGAUUGUAUUUGACACAACUGCACACAUCAGCUUACAUAGCUUUACCUUUGUCAAAAUUAUACUAAAUUUUAAUUGUACAUGGUGUCUAAAAAUUCUGUCAUGUGCUCUGUCAUUCUCAGUACUCCUUUAUUCUAUAAUGUAAAGUAGAAUCAGCAAAAAUGCUUUUGGAAAAUGGUGGGACAUAGUUAUCAGUGCAUUAACCAUUCAAAGUAUCUGUAGUCAUCAGCACUAAAUACCAACGUAUUUUUAAAUGGUACAAUGAUAGGUGCACUUAUCUGAUAAUUCAGCCUUCAGAUCUACUGUUUAGACUAAUCUAUUACACUUCAGUAAAUGGAUCAAAGCAGUCUCAAUAAGUAUAUGUACACUUGUGCAUUAAUGUAAAGUUUAUUUUCAGUGCUGUUUUUAAACUUUUGUUUCUGUAGAUACCUGAACAAGAAUUCUUUAUAUUCAUAUUUUGGACCUUUCUGUAGAUUGUAUAAAGGGGUAGAUGUUCAAAUCUGCUUGCAAUAAAAUAAAAUUUACAUA